GACGAACGCUGGCGGCGUGCCUAAUACAUGCAAGUAGAACGCACAGUUUAUACCGUAGCUUGCUACACCAUAGACUGUGAGUUGCGAACGGGUGAGUAACGCGUAGGUAACCUGCCUGGUAGCGGGGGAUAACUAUUGGAAACGAUAGCUAAUACCGCAUAAUAUUGAUUAUUGCAUGAUAAUUGAUUGAAAGAUGCUAUUGCAUCACUACCAGAUGGACCUGCGUUGUAUUAGCUAGUAGGUGAGGUAACGGCUCACCUAGGCGACGAUACAUAGCCGACCUGAGAGGGUGAUCGGCCACACUGGGACUGAGACACGGCCCAGACUCCUACGGGAGGCAGCAGUAGGGAAUCUUCGGCAAUGGACGAAAGUCUGACCGAGCAACGCCGCGGGAGUGAAGAAGGUUGUCGGAUCGUAAAGCUCGGUUGUAAGAGAAGAACGGGUGUGAGAGUGGAAAGUUCACACUGUGACGGUAUCUUACCAGAAAGGGACGGCUAACUACGAG
rnacentral:rRNA from 1 species